UACAGAGGUCGCAAGCGUUGUUCGGAAUUACUGGGCGUAAAGGGCGCGUAGGCGGCCAUCUAAGUCAGACGUGAAAUCCCCCGGCUUAACCUGGGAACUGCGUCUGAUACUGGACGGCUGGAGUUUGGGAGAGGGAUGUAGAAUUCCAGGUGUAGCGGUGAAAUGCGUAGAUAUCUGGAGGAAUACCGGUGGCGAAGGCGGCAUCCUGGACCAAUACUGACGCUGAGGCGCGAAAGCUAGGGGAGCAAACAGG
rnacentral:rRNA from 1 species